CAGUGUAAUACACGACACGCUGCUCACCUUCCCGCGGAAUCCAGCCCAUUGUCUCCGCUGCCAACUGGAUCAAAGGAACAUUUGGAAAGACAAAAUUACUGCCCCCAGAAGAGGAUAUGAAACUAAAGAACUUAAGUGUCUGAUGUUAUGAGAUCCAUUGUUUGUUUUAUCUGAUUGCACAAUGCCUCCAGGCAGGUGGUCUGAAUGUACAGAAAGAGGGAGUCCAGCAGCACUCCUGGAACUCUGUUCUGAAAGCAGAUGUUUGGCUACAGUUACUCACUGCAGAGUGCCUGCCUUCAGAAGUAGUGUUUUGUCAGCCUUUGUCUGCAGAGAGUUCUGGUGGAAGUCCUUCAGCUGCAGCACAGAAGCAAGAAAUUUCUGGAGCAAGCAUCAAGAGCUUACACUUACCGAAGGAAAAAUGAAUCAAAUAA